GCCAGGGUAGCUCAAUUGGUAGAGCAGGAAAUUUGUAAUUUUCAGGUUAAGGGUUCGAGCCCCUUCCCUGGCU
rnacentral:tRNA from 1 species